UACGUAGGGUGCGAGCGUUGUCCGGAAUUAUUGGGCGUAAAGAGCUUGUAGGCGGUUUGUCGCGUCUGCUGUGAAAAUCCGGGGCUCAACCCCGGACUUGCAGUGGGUACGGGCAGACUAGAGUGUGGUAGGGGAGACUGGAAUUCCUGGUGUAGCGGUGAAAUGCGCAGAUAUCAGGAGGAACACCGGUGGCGAAGGCGGUUCUCUGGGCCGUGAUACUGACGCUGAGGAGCGAAAGCGUGGGGAGCGAACAGG
rnacentral:rRNA from 1 species